rnacentral:rRNA from 1 species
GGGUCAGUAGGUUGGUCGUGCCACCGGUACGUACUGGUCUCACUGAUUCCUCCUUCCUGAAGACCCGUAAUGCCAUUAAUUGGGUGUUGCGGGGAAACGGGACCGUUACUUUGAAAAAAUUAGAGUGUUUAAAGCAAGCUAACGCUUGAAUACAUUAGCAUGGAAUAAUGAAAUAGGACGAUCGAUCCUAUUUUGUUGGUUUCUAGGAUUGACGUA